GCAUUGGUGGUUCAGUGGUAGAAUUCUCGCCUGCCACGCGGGAGACCUGGGUCCGAUUACUGGUCAAUGCA
rfam:Danio rerio chromosome 4, GRCz11 reference primary assembly.